GAGCAAAUCCCAAUCUCUCUGAGUCUGUUUCCUAAACUGGAGUAGAUGAUCUUUGAUGUCCCUUCUGGUUCUAAAACUAUUUUCUCUAUAGAUGAAAUAAAUUGUAAUAGAUCAAUGGAGAGAUGUAAAGUGCAUUUAGAAAAUUUGGAGUAGGAAAGAUCAUCACUUUUUGUGCAUCCCAUGUGCUCAUUAGGUUUUAUCUCAGACUUUAAUUAUUUUGUAUAUCUUAUCUUACUUUAGUAAGCUUCUUUAAGACAGUGUGUCUUAUUUCUCUUUGUCUUUUCUCCAAUAACCAGAGACUUAAAUAGAUAUUUGUAUAGAAUGACUCUCUAGAAGAGAUAUAGAGGAAAAUUUUAGAUGAUGUGAAAACAAGAUAUCAUUAAAAUAAGAUUUUUACAAGAUAAACUUUUGGGGAAAAUGUAUUCAUAAGAGGACUUGUUUGAGUCAUUGACAAGUUUUCAUUCUGUCAAAAAAUGUAUUCAUAAGAUAAAAUAAAACAAAACUAAAUCAAUGGGGGAGGUCAAAUAGUUAGAAAACUAAAUCUUAAGAGGUACCAAGAACUACCUACUAAAAAGUGUACUUCUCAAAAGAAAAACUGAAUAGCCUCCAUUGGAAGCCCUUUCAGCAUAAUUUUGAUCAUGUUUUAGUUCUGCAGAGAGAUUCUCUUCACUUCAAAUGCAAAACUCCAUAGUCUUCCUGAAUAAAUAUGAAUAAAAAUGCACUGACAACAACCAAGUAUAGGCCAUUUUCUCUACUUCAACUCCAGCCAUGUUGAUCUAUUUUAUACCAAAAGUACUAAAGUAUUUUCCUUUUGCAAUAGAUGCUCCUUCUUUUAGAAAAGUGGGUGCUCAUCACCACCCACUAAACUGGCCCCAUGUUUUCUUUGCUAACUGCAAAGACAAUUAUGUGUAUAUUCUAAGGCUGGCUAUAGAAUGCUAGCACAUGUUUUGAUUUGGCAGAAACCAAAUGCCUAGGAAGGCAUAAAAAUAAUACAAUUAUAUAGUACUUCAGGGCUAAAAAGGGAUUGCAUUGCUUUGAUCUUACUUGAUCCUUACAAUGACAUUGUUGUGUAACUAGUAGUUCGAAUAUCAUUAUUCUCAUUUUUAUUUACUUAGUCAGGGUUAAAUGCUAAUUUGAGUGAUCUGUGGCAGACAACCUCUUGUUGUUAGUAUCAUGAUCCUUUAAGGUAAACCUUUUGAUUCCAUUCAAUUAGAAAAGCAUAUAGUAAGCACCUCAUAGGUACCAGAUGAUAUUAGGGACUAAGGAUACAAAGGUAGAAGUAAAAGAGGCUUGCUGUCAAGAAACUUACAUUCUACCUCUCCCAUAAUAAGAGAAAAAUGUUUUGAGUUUUGUAGAGAAAACAAGGUAAAAGGCUUGUUUAUCAAAGGCAUCAGAAUAAAUGCCCGAAGCAUCAAACUCAACUGUCUAUAGAACUGGUCAUAUAAAAAAUUUGAGAAUAUUUAAUAUAGGAAAAGCAGUUAAGAAGUUUUUGUUCAGUCAUGUCCAACUCUUCAUGUUCCCAUUUGAGGUUUUCCUGGUGAAAAUAUUGGAAUGGUCAGCCAUUUCCUUUUCCAGUUCGUUUUACAAAUGAGGAAACAGAGGCAAACAGGGUUAAGUGAUUUACCCAGGGUCAUGAAGCUAGGUUGGAUUGAGGUUGAAUUUGAAUUCAGGUCUUUCUGACUCCAGGUUUGGUUCUCUAUCCACUUCGCCCCUACCUGCCCCACAAUUGGAAAGAUAGGAACAUCUAUUGGUCCAACAUGAAAAAAACUCAGCCCCAAAGAAGAUACAAAAAAAAGUACCUCUUUUCCUUCUUUACAAAGGUGUAGGACUAUGGGUGCUAAAUAUUGCAUAUAACGUGAAAUUUAGAAUGAUUAAUUUUUCUAAAGUGCCUUUAAAAAAAACAAAACAAAAUAAAACAAAGAAUGGGUCACUGAAAUGGAAGGCCUGGGGGAGAAGAGUGACAUUCAGAAAUGAAAGUGAUUUAAAAUCAAAAGAUGUCAAUAAAAAUAAAAAAUAAAAUAAAAAACCGAAAUCGAAUGAGCUGCAUUUGAAUUUCCUUUUUGUCCAUGGUUUUGCCUUCACUUUUAGUAUGACUUGAGGAGCAGAUUGCAUGAGCUUUCGGUGGAAAAGGGCAAGAAAAAGAAUUCUGAGAUCUUGGAGCUGAGAAGAGACCUUAAAGAACACCAACUUCAAAUUCCAUUCUCUAUAAAUGAGGAAUCCUGAAAUCCUCUGAACCCUUCUUGGAAUUGGAGUCAAGGAUAGAAUUCUCUUGAGAUGAACCACUGCUGGACUGUUCUGGCCAGCAGUUAGGAGAUGGGAUUACUUCUGAUAUUAGAGACCUGAUGUGUGAUUGUUGAAGAAGAUUUCGAGUGAAGAUUAAAGCUACCUUUUCAAGAAGUACAUAUUUCCUUACAUUUUAAGAUAGAAGUUGUGAAAGGUGAUCUGCUUUUUCCUACUAAUAUCCUUUAAGAGAUGAAUAAAACUCAGUGGAGUAUGGGGUGGAGAGAAAAGGAAAGGAGUAGAAAAUUUCAUACAGAUCAACCUAUACCUACCAUUGUAAUCAACUCUUUUACAAUGAAAAUUGUAUGCUUAACAGAGAUAUCUGGAGAAUUGGAUUCAGAAGGUAUAACCCAGGAAGAAAAACAAAGAUGCAAGCAGUUUAUAUUCAUUUCCCAGUGUUCUUUCUUUGGGUGUAGCUGCUUCUGUCAAUCCUUGAUCAAUUGAAACUGAAUUAGCUCUCUUUAUCGAAGAGAUCCACUUCCAUCAGAAUACAUCCUCAAACAGUAUCAUUGUUGAAGUAUAUAAUGAUCUCCUGGUUCUGCUCAUUUCACUGAGCAUCAGUUCAUGUAAGUCUUCAUGCAUAUGUUUUUUAAAAUAAAAAAAAAAACUUUAAUAAAAAAGUAAACUUCUAAAAAAAAAAACAACAACCAAAACCAAAGAACACUUUGUAAUGCCGGAGAAACUGAGGCAGGAGAGAGAUUAGAGAGUUUUAAUAUUUUUAUUAAUGGGAGAAUAAGAUUGACUGGACAGGACUCUAGUCUCAGAUUAUCCAGUCAGACAAAGAUAAGUAUACUGGGACUAAGGAAUUCAUGUUGGUCCCAGGGCUGGAGGAGACCAGCAUACAACUGCCAGCUGCCAUACUCCAGCAAUGAAUGGAGGAACCCCAACUUCUUAAAUACCUUUUUGGAGACAAAGAAAAGAAAGGGAGGGAAAGUUUUUAUCAGGGAGGGGAAGCCAUAAAACCCUAAAAAAUCCGGAGACAGGAUGUUUGAAUACAAAGAAGUAAAGAUAUUUUGGGUUAUCUUGGAAUAUUUAAAGGAAUAUUGUAAAUCCUUGAGGAUACAAAACAGUCAGGAAUCUACUCUUUUAUCUUGCUAAUUUAUAACCCGAGAGCGAAUAAUCCUUAGUUUUACUGGGUCAGAGACAGAACAGUUAAGGAAACUGGGACAAGGGAAACUUGUACAGGGAAACUGAGUCAGGACAGUUAAAGAGAACUGUGGCAUAACAACUUCUCGCUGAUGAGAGAGUUUGUAUCUAGCCUGUUUCAUGCCUUCCGGCCCCACCUUCCACCUGAGGGAUAAAUUCCUUGGGCCUGAGCUUCUUUUACUUCAUCCUCUAUUCUGCUUGCUUGGCUGUUUCAAAUGAAUAAUCCCAGUCCCUUCAGGUGAGAAGGUUGUCCGCUGCCUGGUUGAAGUACAGAGCUGAUCUGGGGGAUGAGGAUGGGGAGUGAGUUUGACAGCAGUGGUUCUGGACUUUCAGAGCCUGACUCUAAAUUCCUCAGCUUCACCCGCCCUAUGAAUUGAAAGAAUAUCAGUGAUAACUUAUUGUCAUAACCUGCUGGUUGGUCUCCCAGCCUCAGUCUCUCUCCAUUGUACUCUGUCUCCAUCCACCUAUCAAACUGAUCAUAAGCACAUCAUGUUAUGUCCCUAUCAUUUCUUCUCACCUCCUACCUCCUGUCAAUACAUCAGUGGCUCCCUAUUACUUUCAGGAUCAAAUAUGACAUUUUGUUUGACUUGGGAAGCCUUGCGUAAUCUGGCUCCUUUCUACCUUUCCCAUCCUCUUACACAUUACUCAUGCCCGCACACUCACUUCGGGGCAUUUAAGUGGCUAUCCCUAUGCCUAGGAUUCUCUUCCUUCUCAUCUUUGCCUCUUGACUUUCUUUGGCUCUCAGCUAAAAUUCCACCUUCCAUAAGAAGCCUUUCCCUGCUCCCUUAAUAAUGAUGUCCUCCUUCUGAGAUUACUCCCAAUUUAUCCUGCAUAGUUCUUGUUUGUACAUAGUCGGUAUAUUGUCUCCCCAUCCCACUCUGAUUUUUUGCCUUUCUUUCACUGUGAAGCUACGGACCCCUAAGAAAGCGACACUGUGUACAGUUUAUAUGUGGAGAGACUGGAAAGAGAAAAGUGGAUAAAGAUGGAGGGCAAGAGGCAAAGUGCAAACCUUAAUGGCAGAUGGAAGAUCUCCAGAGCUUAGAUACAUGAAAAAAACUAGCCUCCUAACAUGUCCCUUAAUUCCCAGUAAUUGCCCUCUCACGGACUACUAAGAGCACAAUCUCUAUUCAGAUUAUUCUCUCUGAUUAAGCUAAAAUGUUCUCUCUCUAAUCUAAUUUGUAUAACUUUCCUACAACUGUUUUACUAUUUGUAUUUACUACUUGAUAAAUAUGUUUACUUUCUAUCCAUGAUUAUCUUGCGUGUAAUAAAAGGGUGGAAUACUCAGCGAGGUUGCCAGGGUCAGCUUCUCCAUAGUCUGACUUUUUUUUUCUUCUUUUAGGAAUUAUAUUGCUUUUAGCUGCUUCCUUCCUUUGAUAACUGUCUGUAGCUGUCUCUGUCUACAAGGCAUGACUGCUCUUUAAAAUGUUCUUUCUCCUACUGAUCCUAUUGGAUCAGUGUUUCCUGCUUUUCCUACUGGAACUGAUUGUAGUUCCAAUCAAAUGGCCAGUGUAGAGAAGGAGAGAAACUCUUCACCCUCAAUUGAUGCCCCCUGGUAUAAAUAAAAUGCCAAAAUUGCCUCCAGCUCUUGAAUUCUUUAACUUAUCUAAGGGCCAAUCAUUUAGAGCCUCCAGAAAUGUGGUUUAUUUGCUUGCUCAUCCCAUCACACUGUUCUCUUUCACAAUCCAAUCAGAGAAAUAUCUGAGUUUCAUAAAAGGGAUUGGUGGUCAUUAAGUACAUCUUAUUCAUACAUUAAAACCUACCUCAUCAUGGAAAACUACAAUCUGUAUUACAUCAAUUGGGGGAAACCUGUCCCUUACUCAUUUUCUUUUUAUUUUACUUACUCAUGUUCUUGGUAUCCCCGUAGAAUCUAAGUUCCCUGAAGGCAAAGAAUAUUGUAUUUUUGUCUUUGUAUUCCAAUUCUUUUUUUUAAUAUAAGGCAGACUUGUAUUUUAUUUCAUUAUUUCAUUAAUUUUUAAAUUUGGUUGUUAGGGAAAAAAACCACUAACUAGAUAGUGAAUUCAAAGAACAGGGUUCUAAUCUAAUUUUUCUCAAUAAUUCAGCAGUUCAGCAUUUAUUACUCACCUAGUAUGAGUCAGAACUUAUGCCAGGUUCCAGGAAUUGUGUAUUCCAAUUCUUAGCAAAAUGCUUGGUCUAUGCUAGAUACUUAAUAAAUGUUUGGUGACUUGAAGUAGUGGCUGUAAACCUGUCUAGGGAAAGUUCCUCUGGGAUGGGAGUCUAUGGGAUCCCCUUCAAGACCACUACUGCAGGGCUUCAGAAUCAUAAGACCUUCUUGGAGGAAAAGUUCAAAAAGUUGUCCUUGCUCAUUGAUAAGUUUUAAAAAUAGAGUAUUGCAUGGAUUCAAGACAGGCACUUCUUAAGUAAAAUAUGACCUUGGAAGCACACAAGUGUGAAAAACGAAAGGCAAACACUAUUUUUAUUUUAUUUUAUUUUUUUGCUGAGGCAGUUGGGGGUAAGUGACUUGCCCAGGGUCACACAGCUAGAAUGUGUUAAGCGACGGGGACUAGAUUCGCACUCAGGUCCUCCUGCCUUCAGGGCCGGUGCUCCCCAAGCGCUCCUCCUGGAUCCGAAAGGGGCCAUGCUCCGAAGUCAGUUAUGUAAGGAAGCUCCGCCCGCCCACCCUGCAAACUCUCCUGUUCACCUGGAGUCCGGCUCAUGCAGGUUUGCCCAGAUCCUCCUUAGUGUGAUCUCAUUUCUGCUUCAUCCAUCUCACUCUCUGCCUUCUGCCCCAACACGUUCCUUCACUCAUGUCUCCCUCCCACAUUCUCUCCCCGCCGCCAUCUGUCCAGAGCCAUAACCAGCGAUGCGAGCACCUGGCCGGGCGGCCUGAAAUGCCCCAUUGUAGAGAUGUAAGGUCAGGGAGAGAGCAGGCGCUGACAUCCCCGUUGUAAGCUGUCCUUCUGCCAGCCCAGCCCUGACAUGUGAGUGCAUUAUCCAUGUGCCUGCCCAAAACAUGGCAUCUUCCCAACACUUUCUGUUUUCUUCUCUGAGCCCACAACGAGCCCGAGAAAUGGAUAUUUGCAGCCCCGCGGUAACCUCACAAUGUCAGAGACCGAGAUCCGGAUCGGGAGCCAACUGCCCAGCAGGAGGAGGUUGCCACAAUCAGCGGGGAGAACAAGUGUGGCCCCCACGGGAGAAGGGCUGGGGAAAGCCUGAGGGGAAUGGGUGGAACAACAGCCGAAAGGAUUCAGAAAGUCCAAACCGUGAGGGGCCGGCCAGGAAAUCUGUCCCUUUGGCCUGUUCAGGCAGGGCUGGUGUGAAACGAAAGGUUAAUAUUUCAGCAAUCCUCCAUAACUGUUUUUCCCUUUUGGGGGUAGUUUUAUGUGUGUGAUGGGGUAUUGUUUUAAGUUUCUAUUAUUGUUAAUGCUCCUUUAGAUGUCUUCUGGGUUUUAGGGAUUUUCAGUGGUGGAGGAAAUAAAUCAGCAUUCUAUGUCUGACUCCAUAUAGUACAAUGAAUACCUUGGGUGAUUCUCUAGACAUAAACCAUACUAUUUAUUAUUAUUAUUAUAU